rnacentral:rRNA from 1 species
GACGAACGCUGGCGGCGUGCUUAACGCAUGCAAGUCGAACGGUAAGGCCCUUCGGGGUACACGAGUGGCGAACGGGUGAAUUACACGUGGGUGAUCUGCCCUGCACUUCGGGAUAAGCCUGGGAAACUGGGUCUAAUACCGGAUAGGACUCCUGGCUUCAUGGUUGGGGGUGGAAAGAUUUUGCGGUGUGGGAUGGUACCGCGGCCUAUCAGCUUGUUGGUGGGGUAAUGGCCUACCAAGGCGACGACGGGUAGCCGGCCUGAGAGGGUGACCGGUCACACUGGGACUGAGAUACGGCCCAGACUCCUACGGGAGGCAGCAGUGGGGAAUAUUGCACAAUGGGCGCAAGCCUGAUGCAGCGACGCCGCGUGAGGGAUGACGGCCUUCGGGUUGUAAACCUCUUUCAGCUAUGACGAAGCGCAAGUGACGGUAGUAGCAGAAGAAGGACCGGCCAACUACGUGCCAGCCGCCGCAGUAACAC